UUCCAGACUCCUACGGGAGGCAGCAGUGGGGGAUAUUGCACAAUGGGGGAAACCCUGAUGCAGCGACGCCGCGUGAGUGAAGAAGUAUUUCGGUACGUAAAGCUCUAUCAGCAGGGAAGAAAAUGACGGUACCUGACUAAGAAGCCCCGGCUAACUACGUGCCAGCAGCCGCGGUAAUACGUAGGGGGCAAGCGUUAUCCGGAUUUACUGGGUGUAAAGGGAGCGCAGGCGGCGCGGUAAGUCUGAUGUGAAAGCCCGGGGCUCAACCCCGGGACUGCAUUGGAAACUGUCGUGCUGGAGUGUCGGAGGGGCAAGUGGAAUUCCUAGUGUAGCGGUGAAAUGCGUAGAUAUUAGGAGGAACACCAGUGGCGAAGGCGGCUUGCUGGACGACAACUGACGCUGAGGCUCGAAAGCGUGGGGAGCAAACAGGAUUAGAUACCCCUGUAUG
rnacentral:rRNA from 1 species